rnacentral:lncRNA from 1 species
GUAACUUAAUCACUAAUUAAUUAGUUAGUUCUGAAACUUAUUGCGCGUUUUCCUCAUGUCUAAACUAUUCUUUUUUGUUUAUUUGUUUGUUGUUAUUAUUAUUUUCUCUUGUCCAGGUCCAACAAUUUUAAAUGGAUACCUCCACGGCCUUCCGCCUGGUCAUCACGGAUUUCAUGUUCACGCCGCCGGGGACACAAGACACGAAUGCAAUUCAGCUGGUAUGACCAUAACAUAUAAAUUGAGGAGGAAUCGGGGAUUCGUAAACCUGUUUAUCAGUGUUGGAACCAGGAUUUUGGUUUUAUUUUGAUUUUUUUUUAUUUAAAAAAAGUACUUAAUUGUAAACCAUACAUAGGUAUUGAUAAAUUUUUAAUUCAGUCCAUUAAUUUUCACCAUUCCAAUGUCUUCAUGCAGGGAGUCAUUUUGAUCCUCAUAACAUGUCACAUGGUGGCAAAGAAGACGAGCAUCGUCAUGUUGGCGAUUUAGGAAAUCUCUUUGGUGAUGUUUAUGGUAUGUAUUCGUGUUGACCGUUUCAGUUAUAGUAGUAUUCAUUCUAUUAAUUACUUAUUUUAUGGAAUGUAAUAUUUAUCGAUUUGGUUAAGGUAAUGCUUAUUUGAGCCAUUUUUUAGACAAUAAGGUAAUGUUUCAUCUCCUUUGUAUUUAGUCGUGGACCCGACUCCAGAGAAGUUCGGCUCUUCACUGUUUUAAUUUAUACAUAUGCAGAUUCGUCUUACAGGGCCAGAUUCCAUUAUUGGAAGGGCUAUCGUGAUACACAAAGAUCAAGAUGACUUUGGCAGGGGUAAGAUUACAUACACACAAUUUGAUUUAUUAGUUAACCACUUCAAUUCGUACAGUAUAGUGGGCUAAGCGCACGCAAUACAUGCACUAAGAGUUAUUCGAUCAUCAAACAGCGUUAAAAGUUUUGGAAUCAGAUCAGGAUUGAGCUUGUUCUUAGCACUAAACCAACAAUAAGAAAUUGUCCAACAUGGAUCCUCCAUGAAUCCCAAUCAAUUCCUUAGUAUAGAUUCGUUCUUCAAGUUAGGAAUUGUUUCUUUUUUAUCUUAAGUCUAAAUUUUACUAAUUUUUAGAUAUUUUUCAUUUUUAAUUUACUUAUUUUCUAUCAUUAGUGUCUGAUUAUAAAAUACUUAAGUCUGAAUAGAAAAAAUUAAAUAUUUUGACUUUAAUGAAACUUUAAUGUUCUCUCUCAUUAAUACCCUUAUAAAAUAAAUUUAUUUUCUAUUAUAUAAAUUAUUCUUUUAUUUUUUUAUUUACCCCUUUCUUAUUAUUUGUGUGUAUUCAAAUAUUAGUCUUUUUUUUUGUGAAUGAGAAUUUUAACAUAAAAGAACUUUAGGUGAGUGUGUCUUAAAAUAUAAUAGAACUUUAGGUGAAUGUAUUUUAUAAUAGGUCCAUCUCUUUGUAUUUAUAUUUACUAUUUUUAUAAUAAAUUUAUAAUUUUAUUUAAUAUAUUAUUUUUAAUUCAAACAAUUAAACAACUUUUGAUUGGCUUAUGUAAUUAACAAGAAAAAUACUAAUAUAAUAUACUAGAAAAUAGCAUUAUAAGUAUCCUAUAUUAAUGUAAAAAAUUAAAUGUGUUAGAUAUACAUUUUAUUUUUCAUGCUUUGUUCAAGUAAACUUUAUCAAAUUUCUUUUACUAAUCACAUAAUUUGUUUAUAACUUGUCAUGUGUUUGAUGAAUAAAAUAUAAGUAUUAUAAAUAUUCAUGAGGUUAUAUAUGUCAAAACAUCAUACUUCAGAUGUUUUAUUUGAAAAAAAAAAAAAAACUAAACAUUUACAUUCAGAUAUCAUAAGUUUGGAAUGAAUGAUGUUAAACAAGUUCAAACAUCAUUGGCAAACCAUUUUAAGUUGUCUGUUGCUCAGUGUUCACAAACUGAUGCAGAACAACAGAAAAUGGCUCACAUACCUUACUUAAGUGCUAUGAGUAGGCUCAUAUAUGCUAUGGUAUCCAUCAGGCCUGAUAUCUAACAUGCUGUGAGUGUGGUGAGUAGGUUUAUAGCAAAUCUAGGCUACGAACAUUGGAGAGUUGUUCAAUGGAUAAUGAGAUACCUCAAAAGAACCUUAGAGUUUGGUUUGGUUUAUGGUGGACAGAAUAAUGAUGAACAUACUUUGAUUGGUUUUGUAAAUGCUAACUUUGCUGGUGAUCUUAAUAAAAAGAGGUCAUAAACAGGGUAUUUGUUUACUCUAGGGGAAUGCACAAUCAGUUGGAAAGCAACAUUAUAGAAUAUAAUUGCUUUGUUUGCUAUAGAGGCAGAAUAUACAACAGUAGCAGAAACCUUUAAAGAAGCCAUUUGGCUGAAAGGCAUAAUAAUUGAGCUAGGAGCUAAGCAAAGUUUUGUAGUAGUAUACAAUGACAGUAAGAGCAUCAUACAUCUCAGUAAAAAUCAAACUCAUCAUGAGAAAACAAAACAUAUAGAUGUGAAGUUGCACUCUAGAUUUGAAGUAUCAAGGGGUCUGUGAAAUUGCUAAAAAUCCACAAUGGAGAAAACCCAGCUAACAUGUUAACCAAGGUUGUGCCCACUGCCAAGUUCAUCCUUUGCAUGAACUUAGCAGGAAUUUGUAGGAUCUAAGAAGCUGCAGGUGAAGAGAAAAUAAACAGAGAAGGGAGAAGCAAUUCAGAAAUCCAAAACCGACAGCUUGGUGUUGUCAUCCAAAAUCGUUAAGCAAUCACGUGAUCAGCAUACACCUAUUCUAAGCCUAAACGGCGAGACUUGUUGUCGUCUUUGCAAGGUUUUAAGUUGCUCAUGAAAAGCACGUGAGCAAACGGUUAAAUUGGUUAGUUUUUGGAGGGAAUUAGCUGGAAUCAUAACAACUAGUAACAGCUGGUAUAUAUGCUUGUCCUGGUAUCGUCUUCAGCAAUCGAAUAGAGAAAAAUCAGAGAGCAUUAGAGAGAGUGAAAAGUUUCUUUGUAUUCUCUGUAUAAUGCUUAUCAUCUCUAUAGCCUUUGAAGCUUAAUAUAGAAGCUCCCUGAGUUUGUUUUCUCCAGUGGAUGUAGGCACUAUAAUAAGUGCUUAACCACUUAAAUCUUGUUGUUCCUUGGUUUCUUUGUGCUGUUUUCUUUGAGUUUGUGAUUGUUUCGGACUGUGUUGGCUUGAUCCUUGAAUCUUGGAGUCUCAAUUAGAUUUUGGGGUAAAAUAAAUCCAGUGACAAAGGGUUUAUUUUACAACAAGAAUUCUCGAGAAUCACCGCGAACAAGCUGGCAAAGCUCAGCUUAUAUAACAGCAUAACAACUGAGGCAACCCAAAUUGUACAGGUAUUCGCCACGUGUCUCAAUCCAUUAUAACGGACUUGGAAUCACUUGAGCUGUGACGUGCCAAAGCACCUGUAAAUCGUGAAUCUGUUACGAACAAGACGGAAGCUUGGAUGCCGUUUCAGAGUUAAGUGACUACGAGCUACUCACAUGACUUCAUAACAGGCAGAUGCUAUCCUCAAAACGCUGCCGUUUCUUGCUUACAUGCGUUUGUAUUCAGAAACUCAACAGAUGCUUUUAUCUUAAUCUCCAUCAUUACAAUUUCGUUUAGUUUAUCCUUUGUUUUUGCUCUGCGUUCCUCUUUUCCUGGUUUCUGAAGUUAACCAUAAUGCUGUAUUUACAUGGUAGCUUACAUGGGAUCAUGAUUAGUACGAGGUUCAAUCAACAUCUCAUUUUUAGUUUUACUUGUCAUGCAUAUCUUUUAGGUGUGUAGCGAAAUUAAAAAUGUAUACCACAAAAAUAAAAUUAUGCUGCGAAAGUAACUUAUAUACCCUCAUAACGAACGACGCUCUUUAUUAGUCCAUUCAAUUGGGGAAAAAAAAAAUUCUUUUUCUUUUAUUGUGGAACAUUAUUCAAUUUAACGACAAUCACAUUGCAUAUUUCUUCUCUGAAAUAAUUAAAGUCUGUCAAUUCGCUUCUACUGGUAGGAUUUCCCUGAAUGUGAGUAAUGGAUUUUCACUUUUGAAUUCCACAUUUUCCAUUGGAGAGACCCAAGUGUAUAUUAAAGGUAUUGUGUUUAAAUAAUAUAUCUAUAGCAAUGUGUAUUUAAAUUAAAUAAUUAUUAUGUAAUUAUUAAUUAUGUCUAAUUGAAUUAUACAUAUUAUACUGUAUUAAGUAGAUGUAAUAUUUUUUAUGUACCUUAAAAUUUUUCGUUCUAUUGAUUUGGAUUUGACUCAAAUCCUACAAGUGGACCUGAUCCUCUUCUUUUUAUUUUGGGUGGACCCCUAUCUAAACAUGAGUGUAAGGAGAGUUGGAUACUUCUUCUACGCGGGUUUCGAUAAUGUGUAUGGAUCUAAAUCAAAGUAAUGAUAUGUUUAUACAAAUAAAGUAAACAAGAAGAAAUUUAGAGGGCUUAGAAUAAUGAGGCAAAGGUUUUCUUAGGUAACGUUUGUUGGCCGCCGCCGCAAGGACGAUCGAUGACACUACAGAGUGCAUUAGUUUAGUAUUUAAUUUUUUUUUCCUUUUUCGUGCUUCUUCUUUCUCCUUUUUGUUGGCUAUAAUAAAUGACUUGAUUUUUUUUUUUUAAUAUAAUGUCUACGGGAUGUUAGGUGGUCUCUUUAUGGUUCCUUUGUUGGUGUUAAGGCUUAUAAUUUAUUAAGCUUGUGAUCUGUUUCCUUUGUCACACGACAAAUCAUAAUGAAAGCUUGUGAAAUGCUUCCUCAUAAAUGUUCGAUGAUGGAUGAGUAUUUUCAGCCGUCUCCCAUGAAACAAUUUUAUUUUGUUGAAAUUAAAUAUUGGAUUAUGGAUACACUAAAGUAAAAGGAGAAAUUAACAAAGUUGGUCUCCCAUAAAUAAAGUUCUUUAUAAAAUAGGGAUGCACACCUUACAGUGCUUAAAUGAAUUUUCACACAACUGUUUUUCACAGCAUUGUAAUUUUAUGAUGUGGUAGAAUAAUAGACAUACGCACUUGAAAAUUAUAUAUAUAUGGAAAUAUUUUAAUCUAGUAUCUUGCACUUUGUUAAAUUUCGAGAAAGUUAUUAAAUCAUACAACUUAAUAGUGUAAUGUCCGUGAAAUCUAUUAAGUUGUAAGGUUUAAUAGUAUAAUUGCAUAAUGCUAUUAAACCACACGGCUUAAUAAUUUUUCUAAACUUUAAUAAAAUCCAAGAUCAUGGAUAUAUAUAUAUAUCCCAAUCUGGAAUUUUAAAGUGCGGGAUCGUCUGGGAAAACGCAUAAACCGUGCGGUUUAAGCCCUUUAAAUUUUAAUCCUUUAAAAUCCCGCAGUUUUAAAACUUUCCCGAACUUUUCCUGUACUUUAAGAUCCCGAACUUGAAAACCUCUCUCUCUCUCUCUCUCUCUCUCUCUCUCUCUCUCUCUCUCUCUCUCUCUCUCUCUCUCUCUCUCUCUCUCUCUAUAUAUAUAUAUAUAUAUAUAUAUAAAUAUAUACACACACACAAGAAACCUGAAGGCCAUAUUAUAAAUAAAUUUAUACUCUCUGAUUAUCGCAGUAUCUAAUAAAAAGUAAGAGAGUUUUAAAAAGAAUAAAAUAGUGAAAGCUAAUUAAGAGACUCCAGAGACCACCUAAAUUAAAUUUGUCUUUCAUAAGACAAUUGAUGAAUUAUUGUACUAUAUAUAUAUGGGCAGGGUUCCUUGACUUAAAGCCAUCAACAUAGCAUUAAUUGAGCACUUGUGCCCAUUGGGUAUAACUAGAAGGGAGAGAAAUAAAAACAUCAAUAUCUCUCACUUACUCUCAUUUCUAUUUGAUAAUGGAGAAAGCAGCUUCACUCAAGUUAACUUUAUUGGUAGCAGUUUUAUUCUGUAAGGAUCUUGAAUUUCUAUUUGAAACAUAACAAUUAUAGUUCGUGAGUCAGUUAGUAAUAAGAUACAGUUGAGUGUUAAUUCAUGGCUGCUGCAUGCAUGCAGGUUUUGUCAAUUCAACCAAAUCAACAGGAGUGUGAGUUUAUACACAUACUGGAUAUAUAUAUAUAUAUAUAAAUUGCUACUCAAGAUUUGGGGGAGAAAUAAUCUGUCUGAUUUAUAUGUUUAAUUCAAAGCUCAUGCCUCGAACUGAUUUUUUUUUUUUCCUUUCCACUUGUUCCUCCAAUAUUUAUUUGUAUUGCUCAGACCACAUGGCAAUAAGGUGAAUGCAAUUGCCGUUAUUACUGGCAGAGAGGGGGGUCCCAAGGGAAGCAUCUUUUUUUAUCAGGAUGGAGAUCAUGGUAACUUAAUCACUAAUUAAUUAGUUAGUUCUGAAACUUAUUGCGCGUUUUCCUCAUGUCUAAACUAUUCUUUUUUGUUUAUUUGUUUGUUGUUAUUAUUAUUUUCUCUUGUCCAGGUCCAACAAUUUUAAAUGGAUACCUCCACGGCCUUCCGCCUGGUCAUCACGGAUUUCAUGUUCACGCCGCCGGGGACACAAGACACGAAUGCAAUUCAGCUGGUAUGACCAUAACAUAUAAAUUGAGGAGGAAUCGGGGAUUCGUAAACCUGUUUAUCAGUGUUGGAACCAGGAUUUUGGUUUUAUUUUGAAAUUUUUUUUAAAAAAAGUACUUAAUUGUAAAUCAUACAUAGGUAUUGAUAAAUUUUUAAUUCAGUCCAUUAGUUUUCACCAUUCCAAUGUCUUCA